rnacentral:lncRNA from 1 species
CUCUCUCUCCCCGACCUCCGACCAUACCCCAUACUCGCAUCGCCGCCGCUGCCACCGUCGCCACGAUGUCCCUCUCUCGCACGAGCAAAGAAGGCACCCCCGCCAAACACCAGUAUGCGUCUUCUCUCGUUCCCCUGCUCUCUACCUUACUCAGAUCGAUUUCCCCUAGGACGCCACAAGCGAUGGAGACGGAUGCCGCCACUGGAUCCACCACUCUACCUCUUCCCUGGUGCUAAUCCAAGUUUUCCCCACGGAUUCAGCCCAACUCACUAAUUCCCCUCUGUUUUUUGGCUUGCAGAUCAGCGCGAACAGGAAUUGAAGAUCCGUCUCCUGCUGCGGCGGGGGAGAUUGGGAUGGAGCCGCCGCCGCCACCGUUCCCCGCCACUCUGCUUUCCCAACAACUUUGCAACUCCGUGGUAUUUCUCCUCUAUUCCUAACCCGAUGCCUCCAUCUUUCUAUCAGCUGUGAUUUCUACGUGUUGUGCUUGUACUCUCCUAGAUGAUUUUGAGGAGGAACCUCCCCUGCUUCAUAAAGUAUGAUGUGACUGAAUCAAGAACUUCAAUAUUUUUGGUCCAAUCUAUCACUAUGGUUCUUGAUCCACACAAGAGGUGAUGGCUGGGUAGCGAAAGUGAUUAUGAGCAAAGGAGCGUGAUUCUUGCACCUCUCGCUUGGAUGGAUACAUGUUGAUCUAUUUCUCUGUGGCUUUCUACUUCACGAUCGUCUCGGUCAUGAGACCCGGCCGGGGCUUAAUAUUUUUCCUAGCUUGUAAUGAAUGGAAGGCCAAAGAAUGAUUUAGUAAAUUAUUGUGGUAGUUACGAUGACAUAUGGCAAGAGGUAACCAGGUGCAAGUGCAAUUUAUUACGUAUUUUAUUUCAGACGAAAUCCAUAUUAUUUAUAAGGACCAAAAAAAAUGAUUGCAUCAUAUAUAGACAAUUGCUGGGUAAAGUAAGGAAUCAUGAAUAGACUACCAACUUCUUUUAUAAGCAGUGCAGAUAAAUACUAGAGGCGGUCUAUGGAGCAUAUAGAGCAAAUCAAAUAUAUGGUAGAAACUACGAAGAAACGGAACUUCGAAAUAUCUGGCAGUCCAUGGAAGAAACACAAAAAGAUAGAUUAUGCCUUUAACCUAAAUGAUGUAGCAAAACAAACGAUUUUCUGUAUAUCUUUUUGAAUGCUUGGCUUUUCUUCAGGUGAUGUCGUCAUUCAUAACACAUUUGGCUUGUGUUCAUAGUACUGAUAGAACUCUCCUGUUAGAAACAUGGUGAGGACAAACCCAACGAUUUCAGAAGUACUAUAAAGGGAAGUGUUGAGCAUAAAGAGGUAAUCUACUGCAGUGGUUAUGCUUUUUUGGAGUGGGUGAUAUGUUUUUCUUCUUAGGAACCCGCUGUAGUGUAAUGCCAUGAGAAUGCGUGUAAAAAUUAUAUCAUAAUAUACUCUUUAUAUUGCAUCAUUGGCUUAGUGCUGACUUUUUGUUUUUUUCCAUCGGAUUUAGCAAAAGCUCGAUGAUGAUGAUUCCUAUACAUCCACCGAAAUAACAAAAAAAUUCAUUGAUUCAGUAGCUGAUGUUGUGGCAAGAAUAAUCACUUGUCACAUUUCUUUCAUAUAGCUAAGUUUGUAAUGCAUGACCAAGUGUGGCUCCAUUUACCGUCUGCCAUCCUUAUGAUGUUGUAG